AGCUCCAAUAGCGUAUAUUAAAGUUGUUGCAGUUAAAAAGCUCGUAGUUGGAUUUCUGACGUGAGAAGCUCGACCAGGUACGAUAUACGUGCUUAGUGUUGAUGCAUCUCAGUCAUCCUUCUAGAAAUUGUGUCUUCAGUUAACGCUGAUGGGCUCAGGAUCUAGAUCUUUUACUUUGAAAAAAUUAGAGUGUUUAAAGCAGGCUUAUGCUGUGAAUACAUUAGCAUGGAAUAAUAACUUAGGACUUUGGUUCUAUUUUGUUGGUUUCUAGGACCGAAGUAAUGAUUGAUAGGGAUAGUUGGGGGUGCUAGUAUUCAGCGGCCAGAGGUGAAAUUCUUGGAUUCGCUGAAGACUAACUUAUGCGAAAGCAUUCACCAAGGAUGUCUUCUUUAAUCAAGAA
rnacentral:rRNA from 1 species